rnacentral:rRNA from 1 species
AGGGAAAAGCUGAGUGGCGGACGGGUGAGUAACGCGUGGGUACCUGCCCUAUACAGGGGGACAACAGUUGGAAACGACUGCUAAUACCGCAUAAGACCGCAUGGUAAAAACUCCGGUGGUAUAGGAUGGGCCCGCGUCUGAUUAGCUAGUUGGAGGUGUAACGGACCACCAAGGCGACGAUCAGUAGCCGGCUUGAGAGAGUGAACGGCCACAUUGGGACUGAGACACGGCCCAAACUCCUACGGGAGGCAGCAGUGGGGAAUAUUGCACAAUGGGGGAAACCCUGAUGCAGCAACGCCGCGUGAGUGAAGAAGUAUUUCGGUAUGUAAAGCUCUAUCAGCAGGGAAGAAAAUGACGGUACCUGACUAAGAAGCCCCGGCUAACUACGUGCCAGCAGCCGCGGUAAUACGUAGGGGGCAAGCGUUAUCCGGAUUUACUGGGUGUAAAGGGAGCGCAGGCGGUCUGGCAAGUCUGAUGUGAAAUCCCGGGGCUCAACCCUGGAACUGCAUUGGAAACUGUCAGACUAGAGUGCCGGAGAGGUAAGUGGAAUUCCUAGUGCAGCGGUGAAAUGCGUAGAUAUUAGGAGGAA